AGAGCGAACGCUGGCGGCAGGCCUAACACAUGCAAGUCGAGCGCCGUAGCAAUACGGAGCGGCAGACGGGAGAGUAACACGUGGGAACGUACCCUUUGGUUCGGAACAACCCAGGGAAACUUGGGCUAAUACCGAAUAAGCCCUUACGGGGAAAGAUUUAUCGCCGAAGGAUCGGCCCGCGUCUGAUUAGCUAGUUGGUGGGGUAACGGCCCACCAAGGCGACGAUCAGUAGCUGGUCUGAGAGGAUGAUCAGCCUCAUUGGGACUGAGACACGGCCCAAACUCCUACGGGAGGCAGCAGUGGGGAAUAUUGGACAAUGGGCGCAAGCCUGAUCCAGCCAUGCCGCGUGGGUGAUGAAGGCCCUAGGGUUGUAAAGCCCUUUCGGCGGGGAAGAGUAAUGACGGUACCCGCAGAAGAAGCCCCGGCUAACUUCGCGCCAGCAGCCGC
rnacentral:rRNA from 1 species